GUGGAGCUAACAUCACCGGAUGGAAGAGUGCUGUGUUCCCGGUGGAAUCCCAAGAUUCCAUGAGUGCUCCAGCCCUAGAGCUCGAGAAAGACGAAGAAGCAGCGGUGGUUGGAGAUGGGCAGAGAUACGAGGUGUGCUCUGAAGCUACAAGCGGCUAGACGAGGAGGGUGAGAGUGGGAAAAGCAUAUAUGGAGAAUUUGGAGAGGGAGGCCUGACCGAAAAAGUGCUCGCAAGCUAACUGCAAGCUGGUUGGUAAAAAGGGCUUGAGUGGGUAAUUAAAAAGAUGACUUAGCUGUCAAUGUAAGGCAGUUGAUAUUUCAGUCAUUUUCGAGUUCGAAUCAGUUGUGGUCUGCAUGCUAAUCUGUGCAAAAUCAAAUACAUGUGAUAUAUCCUGCAUAUGGUGAUGGUACAUUGGAGUUAGGAGGUGAUCAAGGGUCCAAAAAAUUUCAUGGCACAAAUGUGUGACUAUGCUUUCGAUUGAAAAAUGUUGUGCCAGUGAUUGGUAAUCACAAACAAGUUAUGGAAAUGGAUAAGCAAUGUGCAUAGUCAUCUGUGGAAGUUAAUACUGAGUUUGAA